CCUACGGGGUGCAGCAGUGGGGAAUAUUGCACAAUGGGCGCAAGCCUGAUGCAGCCAUGCCGCGUGUAUGAAGAAGGCCUUCGGGUUGUAAAGUACUUUCAGCGGGGAGGAAGGGAGUAAAGUUAAUACCUUUGCUCAUUGACGUUACCCGCAGAAGAAGCACCGGCUAACUCCGUGCCAGCAGCCGCGGUAAUACGGAGGGUGCAAGCGUUAAUCGGAAUUACUGGGCGUAAAGCGCACGCAGGCGGUUUGUUAAGUCAGAUGUGAAAUCCCCGGGCUCAACCUGGGAACUGCAUCUGAUACUGGCAAGCUUGAGUCUCGUAGAGGGGGGUAGAAUUCCAGGUGUAGCGGUGAAAUGCGUAGAGAUCUGGAGGAAUACCGGUGGCGAAGGCGGC
rnacentral:rRNA from 1 species